UCAGUCAACAAGUGACAUCGGUAAAAUUGAAAUGAUACAGAAAAUAUUAACAUGACUUCUCCACUAGGAUGACAUACACAAAUUAAAGGGAAAAAACAAGUGA
rfam:Capsicum annuum cultivar Zunla-1 chromosome 11, whole genome shotgun sequence